UACGGGGGGUGCAAGCGUUAUCCGGAAUCACUGGGUUUAAAGGGUGCGUAGGCGGGAUAUUAAGUCAGUGGUGAAAGUCUGUUGCUUAACAAUAGAAUUGCCGUUGAUACUGAUGUUCUUGAAUUGGGUUGAGGUUAGCGGAAUGUGACAUGUAGCGGUGAAAUGCAUAGAUAUGUCAUGGAACACCAAUUGCGAAGGCAGCUAGCUGGGCCUUGAUUGACGCUGAGGCACGAAAGCGUGGGUAGCGAACAGG
rnacentral:rRNA from 1 species